CUUUCCACUUCCUAAAGCUGCUAUAAAUUCUUCCUUUCCAGGAAGGAAAAUAGAAAAAAAAAGAAAAAAAGAACCUAUGCUGCUUCAGUUUGGGCUAUUAUUCUACUAAGCAACACUUCUGUUUGGAGAGAACCCAGCCACCACGCUGUCAGGAAGGCCAAAAUACGGUACUUAGGAAGGAGGGGCCUAUGUGGAGAAGAACAGGAACUUCUAGCCUUUGAUCCUGGCUGAACUCCCAGGCAAUGAACAGCAUCAAACUGCCAACCAUGUGAGACACAAAGAGAAGGCAACCAUCUGCAACCCAGGAGGAGGGUCCUCACCAGGAAUUCAAUCAGAUGACACCUUGAUCUUGGACUUCCCAGCCUGAGAACUGUGAGAACUAGAUUGCUGUUGUUUAGCCAGCAGUCUGUCAUAUUUUGUUAUUGCAGCCCAGCAGCCUAAGACACCACACCUAAGGAAGAUUUUGUUAUUUUUUGUUUCCUUUUGGGGGGCUAGAAAACUGUCCCCCUGUCAUCUCCUGUAUUCUUCAUAUUUAUAAGUUUUUGAUAAAAACUCUAUUUGCAGCCUUCCAGAAUUUGUUUCUUGACAUUUAAAGAAAAAAUUGUGAAAAUAAAGACAAAAACCUUCUCUAUCUCAA